rfam:Schizosaccharomyces pombe chromosome III, complete replicon
CCAUCAUCAGUAGGUUUUAACUUACUUUGUUAUAUAAGUAAAGUAAAAUCAAUCCUGAAGUCAAGUAUGAUGGUUGGAGUCUCCGGACCAAGAAAAUGCAUCCGUUCCGUCUUCAGCGAAGAAUUGAGUGGCUUUCCCGGUCGUUGACUUUUUUCCAUGGGUCAAGGAUGGGAUUGUCUCCCAGACAUUU